rnacentral:rRNA from 1 species
CCUACGGGGGGCUGCAGGGGGGAAUCUUGCACAAUGGGGGAAACCCUGAUGCAGCGACGCCGCGUGAGCGAUGAAGUAUUUCGGUAUGUAAAGCUCUAUCAGCAGGGAAGAAAAUGACGGUACCUGACUAAGAAGCCCCGGCUAACUACGUGCCAGCAGCCGCGGUAAUACGUAGGGGGCAAGCGUUAUCCGGAUUUACUGGGUGGAAAGUGAGCGUAGACGGCUUGGCAUGCCGGAUGUGAAAGGCUGGGGCUCAACCCCAGGAGUGCAUUUGGAACUGGCAGGCUAGAGUGUCGGAGAGGAAGGCGGAAUUCCUAGUGUAGCGGUGAAAUGCGUAGAUAUUAGGAGGAACACCAGUGGCGAAGGCGGCCUGCUGGACGGUGACUGACGUUGAGGCUCGAAAGCGUGGGGAGCAAACAGGAUUAGAUACCCGAGUAGUC